rnacentral:rRNA from 1 species
GCUCCCUUCGGGGAGCCGGUAAAGUGGCGCACGGGUGAGUAACACGUGGGUAAUCUGUCCUCGAGUGGGGAACAACCCAGGGAAACUUGGGCUAAUACCGCAUAACAUCCCGACCUCUCCGGAGGAUGGGAUCAAAGCUGGGGAUCGCAAGACCUAGCGCUUGAGGAGGAGCCUGCGGCUGAUUAGCUUGUUGGUGGGGUAACGGCCUACCAAGGCGACGAUCAGUAGCCGGCCUGAGAGGGUGAUCGGCCACACUGGAACUGAGACACGGUCCAGACUCCUACGGGAGGCAGCAGUGAGGAAUUUUGCGCAAUGGGCGAAAGCCUGACGCAGCAAUGCCGCGUGGAUGAUGAAGGCCUUCGGGUCGUAAAAUCCUGUCAAGUGGGAAGAAACUCCCUCCGUUAAUAGCGGCAGGGGGGUGACUGUACCGCUGAAGGAAGCCCCGGCUAACUCCGUGCCAGCAGCCGCGGUAAUACGGGGGGGGCAAGCGUUGUUCGGAAUUAUUGGGCGUAAAGGGCGCGUAGGCGGCACUGUAAGUCGGUUGUGAAAUCCCUUGGCUUAACCAAGGAACUGCAACCGAAACUACAGAGCUAGAGUCCGGGAGAGGGUAGUGGAAUUCCCAGUGUAGCGGUGAAAUGCGUAGAUAUUGGGAGGAACACCAGUGGCGAA